AAGUCGAGCGCCCCGCAACGGGAGCGGCAGACGGGUGAGUAACGCGUGGGAAUCUACCCUUUUCUACGGAAUAACGCAGGGAAACUUGUGCUAAUACCGUAUAAGCCCUUCGGGGGAAAGAUUUAUCGGGAAAGGAUGAGCCCGCGUUGGAUUAGCUAGUUGGUGGGGUAAAGGCCUACCAAGGCGACGAUCCAUACCUGGUCUGAAAGGAUGAUCAGCCACAUUGGGACUGAGACACGGCCCAAACUCCUACGG
rnacentral:rRNA from 1 species